rnacentral:rRNA from 1 species
AUUGAACGCUGGCGGCAGGCCUAACACAUGCAAGUAGAACGAGUGGCGGACGGGUGAGUAAUGUCUGGGAAACUGCCUGAUGGAAGGGGAUAACUACUGGAAACGGUCGCUAAUACCGCAUACCAUCGGAUGUGCCCAGAUGGGAUUAGCUUGUUGGUGGGGUAACGGCUAACCAAGGCGACGAUCCCUAGCUGGUCUGAGAGGAUGACCGGCCACACUGGAACUGAGACACGGUCCAGACUCCUACGGGAGGCAGCAGUGGGGAAUAUUGCACAAUGGGCGCAAGCCGGAUGCAGCCAUGCCGCGUGUAUGAAGAAGGCCUUCGGGUUGUAAAGUACUUUCAGCGGGGAGGCGUUACCCGCAGAAGAAGCACCGGCUAACUCCGUGCCAGCAGCCGCGGUAAUAC